rnacentral:rRNA from 1 species
AGCGAACGCUGGCGGCAGGCCUAACACAUGCAAGUCGAACGAACCUUUCGGGGUUAGUGGCGGACGGGUGAGUAACACGUGGGAACGUGCCUUUAGGUUCGGAAUAACUCAGGGAAACUUGUGCUAAUACCGAAUGUGCCCUUCGGGGGAAAGAUUAAUCGCCUUUAGAGCGGCCCGCGUCUGAUUAGCUAGUUGGUUGAGGUAAUGGCUCACCAAGGCGACGAUCAGUAGCUGGUCUGAGAGGAUGAUCAGCCACAUUGGGACUGAGACACGGCCCAAACUCCUCGGGGAGGCAGCAGUGGGGAAUCUGGCGAAAGGGGCGAAAGCCUGACGACUCCACGCCGUGGGAAUAAUGAAGUUUUGAGGAUUGAAAAAUUCUUUCCCCGGGGCGGAAAAUGAGGGGCCCGGGAAAAGAAGCCCCGGCUAACUUCGUC